CAUGGCUCAGGAUGGACGCUAGCGGCAGGCUUAACACAUGCAAGUCGAGGGGCAUCGGGAGUAGCAAUACUUGCCGGCGACCGGCGCAAGGGUGCGUAACGCGUGAGCAACAUGCCCGUAUCAGGGGGAUAAUCCAUGGAAACGUGGUCUAAUACCCCAUAGUAAUUAUGUAAGGCAUCUUAUAUAAUUUAAAGCUUUGGUGGAUACGGAUUGGCUCGCGUGACAUUAGCUAGAUGGUAAGGUAACGGCUUACCAUGGCUACGAUGUCUAGGGGUUCUGAGAGGAAGGUCCCCCACACUGGAACUGAGACACGGUCCAGACUCCUACGGGAGGCAGCAGUGAGGAAUAUUGGACAAUGGAUGGAAAUCUGAUCCAGCCAUGCCGCGUGCAAGGAAGACGGCCCUAUGGGUUGUAAACUGCUUUUGUAUGGGAGCAAUAAGGGCUACGUGUAGUCCGAUGAGAGUACCAUACGAAUAAGCACCGGCUAACUCCGUGCCAGCAGCAGC
rnacentral:rRNA from 1 species